AGGUACGCAUCCRUGYGAGUCGGACGGUAGCACASRARAGCUUGCUCUUCGGGUGACGAGUGGCGGACGGGUGAGUAAUGUCUGGGAAACUGCCCGRUGGAGGGGGAUAACUACUGGAAACGGUAGCUAAUACCGCAUAACGUCGCAAGACCAAAGUGGGGGACCUUCGGGCCUCACACCAUCGGAUGUGCCCAGAUGGGAUUAGCUAGUAGGUGGGGUAACGGCUCACCUAGGCGACGAUCCCUAGCUGGUCUGAGAGGAUGACCAGCCACACUGGAACUGAGACACGGUCCAGACUCCUACGGGAGGCAGCAGUGGGGAAUAUUGCACAAUGGGCGCAAGCCUGAUGCAGCCAUGCCGCGUGUAUGAAGAAGGCCUUCGGGUUGUAAAGUACUUUCAGCGGGGAGGAAGGCGGYAAGGUUAAUAACCUUGCCGAUUGACGUUACCCGCAGAAGAAGCACCGGCUAACUCCGUGCCAGCAGCCGCGGUAAUACGGAGGGUGCAAGCGUUAAUCGGAAUUACUGGGCGUAAAGMGCACGCAGGCGGUCUGUUAAGUCAGAUGUGAAAUCCCCGGGCUUAACCUGGGAACUGCAUUUGAAACUGGCAGGCUUGAGUCUCGUAGAGGGGGGUAGAAUUCCAGGUGUAGCGGUGAAAUGCGUAGAGAUCUGGAGGAAUACCGGUGGCGAAGGCGGCCCCCUGGACGAAGACUGACGCUCAGGUGCGAAAGCGUGGGGAGCAAACRGGAUUAGAUACCCUGGUAGUCCACGCCGUAAACGAUGUCGACUUGGAGGUUGUGCCCUUGAGGCGUGGCUUCCGGAGCUAACGCGUUAAGUCGACCGCCUGGGGAGUACGGCCGCAAGGUUAAAACUCAAAUGAAUUGACGGGGGCCCSSCACAAGCSGGKGGGAGYAUGUGGSUUUAAUUCGAUGCARCGCGGAAGAAACCUUUACCCKGUCCUUUGACRUCCAGAGAAACUUUAGCAGAGAUGCUUUUGGUGCCCUUKCGGAACUCUGGAAACRGKGCUGCAUUGGMUGGUYGUCAGCUCGGGGUUUGCKGAAUGWUUGGCUUAGUCCCGCCAACGAGCGCAAUCSCCAYAUAAUCCUCCGUCUGGU
rnacentral:rRNA from 1 species